rnacentral:rRNA from 1 species
GAUGAACGCUGGCGGCGUGCCUAAUACAUGCAAGUCGAGCGAACGGACGAGAAGCUUGCUUCUCUGAUGUUAGCGGCGGACGGGUGAGUAACACGUGGAUAACCUACCUAUAAGACUGGGAUAACUUCGGGAAACCGGAGCUAAUACCGGAUAAUAUUUUGAACCGCAUGAUUCAAAAGUGAAAGACGGUCUUGCUGUCACUUAUAGAUGGAUCCGCGCUGCAUUAGCUAGUUGGUAAGGUAACGGCUUACCAAGGCAACGAUGCAUAGCCGACCUGAGAGGGUGAUCGGCCACAAUGGAACUGAGACACGGUCCAGACUCCUACGGGAGGCAGCAGUAGGGAAUCUUCCGCCAUGGGCGAAAGCCUGACGGAGCAACGCCGCGUGAGUGAUGAAGGUCUUCGGAUCGUAAAACUCUGUUAUUAGGGAAGAACAUAUGUGUAAGUAACUGUGCACAUCUUGACGGUACCUAAUCAGAAAGCCACGGCUAACUACGUG